rnacentral:rRNA from 1 species
UACGAAGGGGGCUAGCGUUGUUCGGAAUCACUGGGCGUAAAGCGCGCGUAGGCGGAUUGUUAAGUCAGGGGUGAAAUGCCGAGGCUCAACCUCGGAACUGGCUUUGAUACUGGCAAUCUUGAGUCCGGGAGAGGUGAGUGGAACUCCUAGUGUAGAGGUGAAAAUUCGUAGAUAUUAGGAAGAACACCAGUGGCGAAGGCGGCUCACUGGCCCGGAACUGACGCUGAUGUGCGAAACGUGGGG